CUAACAAGGAUUCCCCUAGUAACUGCGAGUGAAGCGGGAAAAGCUCAAAUUUAAAAUCUGGCAGUCUUUGGCUGUCCGAGUUGUAAUCUAGAGAAGUAUUAUCCGCGCUGGACCGUGUACAAGUCUCCUGGAAUGGAGCGUCAUAGAGGGUGAGAAUCCCGUCUUUGACACGGACUGCCAGGGCUUUGUGAUGUGCUCUCGAAGAGUCGAGUUGUUUGGGAAUGCAGCUCAAAAUGGGUGGUAAAUUCCAUCUAAAGCUAAAUAUUGGCGAGAGACCGAUAGCGAACAAGUACCGUGAGGGAAAGAUGAAAAGAACUUUGGAAAGAGAGUUAAACAGUACGUGAAAUUGCUGAAAGGGAAACGCUUGAAGUCAGUCGCAUUGGCCAGGGAUCAACCUUGCUUUUUUGCUUGGCUUACUUUCUGGUUGAUGGGUCAGCAUCAAUUUUGACUGGUAGAAAAAGUUCAAGGGAAUGUGGCAUCUUCGGAUGUGUUAUAGCCUUUGUUCACAUAUAUCAGUUGGGAUUGAGGAACUCAGCACGCCGCAAGGCCGGGUUUUUAACCACGUACGUGCUUAGGAUGCUGGCAUAAUGGCUUUAAUCGACCCGUCUUGAAACACGGACCAAGGAGUCUAACAUGCCUGCAAGUGUUUGGGUGAAAAACCCGAGCGCGUAAUGAAAGUGAAAGUUGAGAUCCCUGUCAUGGGGAGCAUUGACGCCCGGAUCUGACCUUUUGUGACGAUUCUGCGGUAGAGCAUGUAUGUUGGGACCCGAAAGAUGGUGAACUAUGCCUGAAUAGGGUGAAGCCAGAGGAAACUCUGGUGGAGGCUCGUAGCGAUUCUGACGUGCAAAUCGAUCGUCAAAUUUGGGUAUAGGGGCGAAA
rnacentral:rRNA from 1 species